rnacentral:lncRNA from 1 species
UGAAUGGACUUGGGCAGUCUGGUCAGUGUCAGCAUGGGGCAUAGCUAAGGUGUGUGUAACAUGGCUGAAGGAAUAGGCAGAUAGCUGUCGCCUUAGAGGUGACAGUAUGUAACUGUGGGAGGUGACCAGAUGGUCAGGUGAGACAGGACAAAGAAAGUCAGGGCACCAUAGGGAGUGGAGGGACCAGAGGAGAUCAAGCUAGAGUUUUCCAAAGGAGUGGUAGCCAGGCAAUAGUGACCUUGUAGGUGUCAAGAAGGCAGAUUGGACGUUGAAAGAAACACUGCAGUUGACGUUAACAUGAUGUUUACAAUUAAUUUGGCUUUCAAAUUUUUCUCCAUUUGAAAUUUUUAGUGUCAUUUGAUUUAAAUGAAAUCUGGU